rnacentral:lncRNA from 1 species
AAGACUUGAAGACGUGAUUCCUGCUCCAAUCAUCCCUUCUUGCUCCUCUUUGUGCACGUACACACACACACACACACACACACACACACACACCUGCUCAACAGAGGUUUAGUUUACAGUCUCUGAGCUAAAGCAGUAAACUCCCAAAUUGUUUUUUCUAAUAAGCUGAGAUUCCCAUUUCUCUUAAGGAGAAGCCACCCAUGAGAUGUCUUUUCCUUCUCCAUCAUCUUAGAGCCAAGUUAUAUGUUCUU